rnacentral:rRNA from 1 species
UACGUAGGGUGCAAGCGUUGUCCGGAAUUAUUGGGCGUAAAGAGCUCGUAGGCGGUUUGUCGCGUCGGAUGUGAAAUCCCGGGGCUUAACCCCGGGUCUGCAUUCGAUACGGGCUGACUAGAGUUCGGCAGGGGAGACUGGAAUUCCUGGUGUAGCGGUGAAAUGCGCAGAUAUCAGGAGGAACACCGGUGGCGAAGGCGGGUCUCUGGGCCGAUACUGACGCGGAGGAGCGAAAGCGUGGGGAGCGAACAGG